rnacentral:lncRNA from 1 species
UUCUCCUCCUGCCAUGACCAUUCUUGAAAAAGAAGAGGAAUAUAAAUAAAAAUUCCACAUUAGAGUUUCCCAAACCCAUCUACAAAUUUUGGCCAGAAGGGCUAUCAAAAGAAGACAUUAUUUUAUGCAAGUACAAAAUUUUUUUCUUUUAAUUUUUCUCAAAAUAAUAUUUGAAGAAGGAAAAAUAGACUAUGCUAAAUCCUUCUUCCAAUCCAAAGAAGGGAAAAAAGACUACGCUAAUCCUUCUCCAUAAUGUUCCAUCCAAGCCAUACUACAAAAGUUGUCUCUCCAUCAAUAAAUAACAUAGAUUCCUUCCAAAUCAGUAACUUCACCAAGGAGGAUGCUUUCUUAAAAGAUAGGCCAGAUGUUUCUCACAAACAAAGCCACCAGCUCAAAAGAUGUGCCCCAGAUGCUCCACCAAUCAGAUGCUAUCAGCUGUCCAUAGACAAGCCACCUCAUCACCAACAAAGUUGUUAGCAAAGUGCUUCACCAACAGAGUUAGUUGCCAUAUGCUUCACCGAUAAGUUAUUCCAUCAGUAGGUCACACCAACGACAAAGUUACUUUACUUCGCCAGCAAGCAAGAUGCUUCUCCAACAAAAGUUAGUCGUUACUUUAGCUCCAAGUUACUUUGUCUCUAAGCCAAAUGACUUCACCAUCAAGCAAGGUGCCCACCUUUAGCUUUUAUAAGAAGACCCCAGAUGCCAGCAUUGAAGAGAAAGCCUUGGCAAGUCUUAACAUAAGUCUUGGUAGCACUUCGCGAGCAAUUCAAAAGCUAGUGGCUUCUCUGGAAAGCUUAUUGAAGAUUAUAUGCCAGGUAGAAGUUACAAGCCAGUGAGGAAGUGUUCUACUAAAUAGUUCCUCUUCUUCCUCCUAUCUUGUACCUUUGUAUAUAUCCUUCCUUUGAGUCCUUGUACAAUCCCAUCCUUGUGUGUGUUCAAGAGUCCUGUAUAUAAGUGUGCUUUCAAAGUCUUAUAGUCGAAGAGAAGCAAGCUUCUGUAAGCUAUCUCCCACCUGUGUAAAUAUUGUUCAUCC